CUGGUGUAGAUCCUUAAUAAAGAUCCAGCAUCCCAAACUCUGAGUCUUCUCCCAAAGAACCCAACCUGUGACACAGUGGACAUCUGGGCAGGGGCAUUGGUGACCACAGGGACAGCACUUGGUACUAGCUCGUCUCACCCAAGGGCAGCAGAUGUGGAACUGGCCAACCACGGGGGCAACUUGCUCACCCCCAGGCAGGAAAGUCCCCGUGAACGUUCCGGUCUAUCAGCUUAGCCAAGGAGAAUUGAGGGAGAGGAUAUAGAUGCGUUUCGAUUUGGACCUCAAAAAUAAAAACUGG
rnacentral:lncRNA from 1 species